rnacentral:rRNA from 1 species
ACAUGCCUACAUCAUAGCGUUAUUGCAUCGGAUCCUAUUAGAACUCUGUAGUUAAGCGUGCUCAGGCUAGAGUAGUACUGGGAUUGGUGACCACUCGGGAAGUCCUAGUGUUUUACAUGCC